CCUACGGGCGGCUGCAGUAGGGAAUAUUGCGCAAUGGACGGAAGUCUGACGCAGCGACGCCGCGUGAGCGAUGAAGGUCUUCGGAUCGUAAAGCUCUGUCCUUGGGGAAGAAGGGGCAUUGGUCUAAUAGGCCUUUGUUUUGACGGUACCUUUAGAGGAAGCACCGGCUAACUCCGUGCCAGCAGCCGCGGUAAUACGGAGGGUGCAAGCGUUAUUCGGAAUUACUGGGCGUAAAGCGCACGUAGGCCGCUUUGUAAGUCAGGGGUGAAAUCCCACGGCUCAACCGUGGAACUGCCUUUGAAACUGCAGAGCUUGAAUCCUGGAGAGGGUGGCGGAAUUCCUGGUGUAGGAGUGAAAUCCGUAGAUAUCAGGAGGAACACCGGUGGCGAAGGCGGCCACCUGGACAGGUAUUGACGCUGAGGUGCGAAAGUGUGGGGAGCAAACAGGAUUAGAUACCCGAGUAGUC
rnacentral:rRNA from 1 species